rnacentral:rRNA from 1 species
GCUUAAAAUCCAAAGGACUUGACGGUGCCCCAUCCCCCUAGAGGAGCCUGUUCUAUAAUCGAUGACCCCCGCUACACCUCACCACUUUUUGCUUCCAUGCAGCCUGUAUACCUCCGUCGUAAGCUUGCCAUAUGAAUGUUUUAUAGCGGGCUCAAUGAUCCUGUUUCAUCAGCACGUCAGGUCAAGGUGCAGCCUAUGAAGUGGCAAGAAAUGGGCUACAAUUUCUAAUUUAGAACAAACGAACAACCAUCUGAAACUAUGGCUACAGAAGGUGGAUUUAGUAGUAAAAGGGGAAAAUAGCGCCCCCUUUAAUAGCGGCCAUGGGACAUGUACAAACCGCCCGUCACCCUCUUCAAUAGCAUUAUUAUAGUAUAUAACAUACCACCGCACUUUAGAAGAGGCAAGUCGUAACACGGUAAGCGUACUGGAAAGUGCACUUGGAUAUACAAAACGUAGCUUAGUAAAGUUUUUCGCUUACACCGAAAGGACGUCUGUUGAAAUCAGAUCGUUUUGAGCUAUAAAUCUA